rnacentral:rRNA from 1 species
UACGUAGGAUCCGAGCGUUAUCCGGAGUGACUGGGCGUAAAGAGUUGCGUAGGCGGUUAGUUAAGUGGAUAGUGAAACCUGGUGGCUCAACCAUACAGACUAUUAUUCAAACUGGCUAACUCGAGAAUAGCAGAGGUAACUGGAAUUUCUUGUGUAGGAGUGAAAUCCGUAGAUAUAAGAAGGAACACCAAUGGCGUAGGCAGGUUACUGGGCUAUUUCUGACGCUAAGGCACGAAAGCGUGGGGAGCGAACCGG